GAUGAACGCUAGCGGCAGGCUUAACACAUGCAAGUCGAGGGGUAUAGGAAGCUUGCUUCCUAGAGACCGGCGCACGGGUGCGUAACGCGUAUGCAACCUACCUUUUACAGGGGAAUAGCCCAGAGAAAUUUGGAUUAAUGCCCCCUGGUAUAAUUGAAUGGCAUCGUUUAAUUAUUAAAGUUCCAACGGUAAAAGAUGGGCAUGCGUCCUAUUAGCUAGAUGGUAAGGUAACGGCUUACCAUGGCGACGAUAGGUAGGGGUCCUGAGAGGGAGAUCCCCCACACUGGUACUGAGACACGGACCAGACUGCUACGGGGUGCAGCAGUGAGGAAUAUUGGACAAUGGGCGCAAGCCUGAUCCAGCCAUGCCGCGUGCAGGAAGAAGCAUCUAUGGUGUGUAAACUGCUUUUGUACAGGAAGAAACAUCCCGACGUGUCGGGACUUGACGGUACUGUAAGAAUAAGGAUCGGCUAACUCCGUGCCAGCAGCCGCCGUAAAAC
rnacentral:rRNA from 1 species